ensembl:lncRNA
GCAACUUGUGCGCUGGGAAGCGCUGCCAGGAAUAGCCCGGCCGAGCGGCUGCGGAGCGCGGCUCCCUCCCUCCCUCUCUCCCUCCCUCUCUCCUUCCCUCCCUCUCUCUGCCUUCCGCCCGCCCGCCCGCCGCCUCGCCGAUGCCGGUCUCUGCCGAGCGGAGGGAGAGCGAUGAUCUACCUUAAGAUAAAUACGUGAAACAGACGCCCCUUUGGCUGCUGGAAUACCGCUGUCUGUCUUUAUAUAAAGCAACGCCGCCGGCCACCUCACUCCGGCGCGGAGCGACGAGAGCGCCCGGCGGGAGCGGCGGCAGCGAAAGGGCACCGGGAGGGCUCUCCGCGGCCACUCGCCAGGUGGGACCCUCUCCUGAUAUGUGACCUACAGCAAGCUACCCUGAAUCGUAUGAUGACAAUGUUAUCGCUGCCACAUCUCUGGAAACCAGUUACUCAUAAAUAUAUGGUGGAGGAGAGUGUGGACAGCCGUAUUUGCUGGAGUGGUGAACCAAAUUGCCUUGACUGGAACCAUUAUUCACUUGCACCUUUGACUGCAGCAGACAGGUAGGAGAACAAGGAAAGGAUGGGUUCAAAUGAACUUGGGGAGCAGGCCUCAGUGAAUAUUUUUUUGUUCUCAGAGGGCUUCAACCAGAAGUCACUCACACUUAAAUAGUAACUGAUUACAUGUCCUUUUGUCACCUCUUGGUGAAACCAGAGGCAUCUCUCUUUCUGGAAAGGUUAUGUUUUUAUUAAUUCAGAAGUGCUGUCUUUGCUUUGACCAUAUAUUUGGUUUGCCACUUUCCCUUCUUUGUGCAGUUCUUGCUUCAAGAGUCCAAGGAGCACGCUUUUUGAAAGAAUAGGCAGAAAAAUGUACUUGUCUAAAAUAAAAGAAAAAAAUGGUGGAUGAGGUUUUGAUAUCUGAAAGAGGUAUUGUGGUUUCUUUUUUUUUUUUUUUAAUUAUUAUUUAAUUUUUAAAUGGCCUUGAAUUAUAAUCUGGUGAUCUGUUUGGAUCAUCUCACCAUUUCAAGUGCACCAUUGAUGAUACUGUGAUUAAGGUUUCUUUUUUUCCUCUGGGUCUUGAACACGUGGGUUCAUGCAAACUACAGUUGUGAAAAUGAUGACAGUGUAGUAUCACAAUACUCAAGUUAGCUUACAGUUAGCUGAUUCUCCGUAGCAGUUAUCUAUGACAUUAUAGACUACAGAGGCCAGUGUAUGCUGUCCGGAAAAGCUCUGUGUUCUGCUGCUCAUUGCAGCUCCAUGUUUGAGUUGGUAGUUACAGGUUGGACAGGUUUCACAUAAGCUUUGUCUCAGGGCCUGUACCAUAAAGGCAGAGUUACUUUGUUGCAAUACUGAGAAUCUCCUCUUCUUUAAUCUUCUGUGUACUGGCACAUCCUUGGUGUUCAGAGAGUUAUGUUAGCCUUCUGAAUUUAACAUGACUGACUUAAAAUAGUGAAAAGUUAGGAAAAUAUUUCAUCCUUCUCAUUGGCCCUCUCUGUUUUACAUUUUUUACCAUUUAUAUGUAACCCCGAGAGCUAGACAUGUACAGAAGACAUCAGAUGUUCUCAUGCUAUAUGAUGAUCUCAGGAGAAGGUGUUUAAAGAAAAUGCAUAGUGUAUUUUGACAUAAAACUCUAUUGUUUUUUCAGAACUGUAAAUGGCAUUGGACCUAUAUUUCAUUCUGUAUGAACUGAAGGAGGGAGUGGAGGGGGUUAAAUUGAAAUGGGCUUAAACCUUUUCUGAUACCUGGAACUGGUCCCAAAUAUUCCACAGUCCGCAGUGGUGCUAUAUGGGAUAUUUCUUCCUUUGGAUCCACAUCAAAGUUGUGUCAAUCUGCAUCGCUCUAUUUCCCCUCUGCAGUCUCUGAGAGCUGAGACAUCUUCCCAUGUAGCCUAGGAUCAGAGCUGGAUGAGAAGAGUGUUACCAGGGAACAUGCUGGCAAAAGCAAUUCAUUGUCCUCGCCUGUAGAAUUUACAGUGAAAGUUCAGCAGGGAAGCAAACUGUCCUGAUGCACCCCCGUGCUCUGCUCCCAGAUUGGGAAGCAUUAAUAGUGUGUGAAAUUUAUAAGAAGGAGUUUUGGAAUACUGCAGUAUGAAAAACUAGCCAUGUCCCAACUCACCAGGCAAGAUUUAAGUGUAAAACUGAGAACUUUGGUGCCCAUCCUCUAAAAUGGGCUUCGAGCAUUGAUUCUUCAGGUUUCAUUAGUGUGUAACGUAAUGGUACUUCUACGCAUUGGGCCCUUGUUGCUGUGGCUCUCCUGUAUGCUGAAAAUUCCCCUUAUAAUGUGUCAGCCUAGUAAUGGUCUUUACUUUUUCAUUUGGGACUGCUGAACUUCAGAAUAGAUGCUCUCAAUUAACAUAAGUCAGAUAAAUGUUAUUGUAACUGUGAUAGUACAUAUCACUACUGUGUGUGCUAAGGACAUUAAAGCCAGCACUUAAUACUGGAAGAGUAGUAAAUAUGCUGUAUGAGCUAAUGGACAGCUCACAUUAAGAAACUGAAGCCUAUAUUGCCUGCUUUAUGAGUGUGAACUUGCAGUUUGAUCCCACUGCUAGAUGCAAGGCGAUAGGAAGGCGCGUUUCCCCUGAAGACAGCAGCACGCAAUGCUGCCAAACCAGCAGUCCCGGGUGCCCUGCAGGGUAUGAUUCUUGCAGCAGAGAGCGAUUGCACAAGCUGUGAUGUGCAGGACUAGCUGCUCUAUUUUGGCUGAGAAUCCUUUGAGGAUAUUGGUCCCGAUUCCCUACUGUCUGAAACCUUUUGCUAUUUAUACCUGGGUAAAGUGAAUGCCUGGCGAGCAUAAAAUGCCACUACGCUAGUGCUAAAGGAGCUGUUAUCCACUUUGCCCAAAUAUAAAUGACUAUGCAAAAGGUGAAGCAAGUUCAAGGUCUCUCUUUUUGUUAUAGCAUUACCCCUAGAUCCUGCUGCUCGUGGCUGAAUGUGUGAACAGGAGGCUGUGCUUCAGUGGUGGUGGUUUCAGCUCAAGACGUGCAAAUGCAGCGAGAAAGAAGAACACUCAUUUCUUUUCCCACUAUUAGUCAGAGAGAAAAACACGUUUCUUCUUCCCUGAGAAGAGUACAGGGGCAACACAUUUAUUUGCCAGUUUUCUGACAGUCUGAGGUAGAAGAAAGAUACUUGAAAACAUCUGGCAGAGGCAGAAAUGGACACUAUGACUUGCAGUCUCCCUGCACUCGAUAGUGGGUAGUGUAUUAACAUGCCGCGCAUUGGAGAGACACAGUCCUUGAAAUCCUCUGACACUGCAAGCUACUGCUUUUAAACUAGAACAGAGACAGAUAAGGAUAUUGUGAAGGAGAAAUCCAGCAUUGCAUAUUGUAAAACUGAAUCCUUAAAAAAAAAUUUGGUACUUUUGGCAGUGUUUCAUUUAUUGUAAAUAGAAUCCAUAUAUAUUCAUAGAUAUUUUCAAUAGAAUGUAGUGUACUGCUGUUUCUGCUAUCUAAGCAAAUAUCUUGCUGGAGUAAUUUAAAAACAGAUCUGCUUCGUAGCCAGCACUGCACCAAUUUAAUAGUAAUACUGACCCGUGUUAGAGAUCCUGAGCCAGAUUUUGACAGCUGUAAACCUGCUGAAAACAAUGAAGACAUUCAUGAGGUUACCUAGCACAGGUAAGGACAUCGGAAUCUGGCUCUUUCUGAGUAGAGCUGCUUGUGAAUCGUGUUCUGCCAUGCACUCUGCUGUGGAAAGACCAUUUCAAAAAGCAAGGGAUGCAAAUCAUAGGGAAUAACAGGCAUCAUGAAGAAUAAUGCCUAGGUAAACCUCCAUUUAUGUGCCUAUCCAGUUUAUUUAAAUAAUCCACUUUUUGCUGCAGAUAGGAUGUCAUAAUGUUGUUAACAUUGAACCACACCUGGUGGGAUUGUUUUUACGUACCUUCUAGUACAUGUAUACACCUUUUCACGUGCACAUUUCCCUCUGUC